UGGGGAAUAUUGCACAAUGGGCGCAAGCCUGAUGCAGCCAUGCCGCGUGUGUGAAGAAGGCCUUCGGGUUGUAAAGCACUUUCAGCGAGGAGGAAGGGUGGUGUGUUAAUAGCACAUCACAUUGACGUUACUCGCAGAAGAAGCACCGGCUAACUCCGUGCCAGCAGCCGCGGUAAUACGGAGGGUGCAAGCGUUAAUCGGAAUUGCUGGGCGUAAAGCGCACGCAGGCGGUUUGUUAAAUCAGAUGUGAAAUCCCCGCGCUUAACGUGGGAACUGCAUUUGAAACUGGCAAGCUAGAGUCUUGUAGAGGGGGGUAGAAUUCCAGGUGUAGCGGUGAAAUGCGUAGAGAUCUGGAGGAAUACCGGUGGCGAAGGCGGCCCCCUGGACAAAGACUGACGCUCAGGUGCGAAAGCGUGGGGAGCAAACA
rnacentral:rRNA from 1 species